rnacentral:misc_RNA from 1 species
AAUGUUGGCGACUCACGUGCAGUAUUAGCUACCACGUGCGAUGAUGGCAACUUGGUACCAGUUCAGCUCACUGUUGAUUUCAAACCUAAUCUACCUCAGGAAACUGAGAGAAUACUGCAGUGUAAUGGUAGAGUAUUUUGCUUAGAUGAUGAAUCUGGGGUGCACCGAUUAUGGCUGCCCGACGAAUCCUCCCCUGGAUUGGCAAUGUCUAGAGCCUUCGGGGACUAUUGCGUGAAAGAUUUUGGUCUAAUUUCAGUGCCUG